GACAAGGAGCUUGCUCCUUUGACGUUAGCGGCGGACGGGUGAGUAACACGUGGGUAACCUACCUAUAAGACUGGGAUAACUUCGGGAAACCGGAGCUAAUACCGGAUAAUAUUUCGAACCGCAUGGUUCGAUAGUGAAAGAUGGUUUUGCUAUCACUUAUAGAUGGACCCGCGCCGUAUUAGCUAGUUGGUAAGGUAACGGCUUACCAAGGCGACGAUACGUAGCCGACCUGAGAGGGUGAUCGGCCACACUGGAACUGAGACACGGUCCAGACUCCUACGGGAGGCAGCAGUAGGGAAUCUUCCGCAAUGGGCGAAAGCCUGACGGAGCAACGCCGCGUGAGUGAUGAAGGUCUUCGGAUCGUAAAACUCUGUUAUUAGGGAAGAACAUACGUGUAAGUAACUAUGCACGUCUUGACGGUACCUAAUCAGAAAGCCACGGCUAACUACGUGCCAGCAGCCGCGGUAAUACGUAGGUGGCAAGCGUUAUCCGGAAUUAUUGGGCGUAAAGCGCGCGUAGGCGGUUUUUUAAGUCUGAUGUGAAAGCCCACGGCUCAACCGUGGAGGGUCAUUGGAAACUGGAAAACUUGAGUGCAGAAGAGGAAAGUGGAAUUCCAUGUGUAGCGGUGAAAUGCGCAGAGAUAUGGAGGAACACCAGUGGCGAAGGCGACUUUCUGGUCUGUAACUGACGCUGAUGUGCGAAAGCGUGGGGAUCAAACAGGAUUAGAUACCCUGGUAGUCCACGCCGUAAACGAUGAGUGCUAAGUGUUAGGGGGUUUCCGCCCCUUAGUGCUGCAGCUAACGCAUUAAGCACUCCGCC
rnacentral:rRNA from 1 species